rfam:Felis catus breed Abyssinian Contig137014.1, whole genome shotgun sequence. [26-MAY-2016]
GCCUGGCUGGCUCAGUUGGCUGAGCACCCGACUUCAGCUCAGGUCAUAAUCUCAUGGUUCGUGGGUUUGAGUCCCAUGUCAGGCU